rnacentral:rRNA from 1 species
UGCGAAGCCCCCCUCAAGAUGAGAUUUCCCAUGAUUUUAUAUCAGUAAGAGCCCUGAGAGAUGAUCAGGUAGAUAGGUUAGAAGUGGAAGUGUAGUGAUACAUGUAGCGGACUAAUACUAAUAGCUCGAGGACUUAUCCGAAA